rnacentral:hammerhead_ribozyme from 1 species
AUCCAGGUGAGGAGUCCCAAAAUAGGACGAAACAUACGUCCUGGAU